UACGUAGGGUGCAAGCGUUGUCCGGAAUUAUUGGGCGUAAAGAGCUCGUAGGCGGUCUGUCGCGUCGGCUGUGAAAACCCGAGGCUCAACCUCGGGCCUGCAGUCGAUACGGGCAAACUAGAGUACUGCAGGGGAGACUGGAAUUCCUGGUGUAGCGGUGAAAUGCGCAGAUAUCAGGAGGAACACCGGUGGCGAAGGCGGGUCUCUGGGCAGUAACUGACGCUGAGGAGCGAAAGCGUGGGGAGUGAACAGG
rnacentral:rRNA from 1 species